CUACUCUCAUGUAAAAUUAACCACUCUGGCCCAGCCCACAAAUACACUCCUUCCAAAACAGCCUUACA